UUCUAUCUUAUCCCUUUUCCAGCACAGCGGGGCGGUGGUGGGCUCGCGGGAGACGGCGCUCGGGCGCCGCAUCAGGCGGCGGAAGCGAGGUGGGGAGGCGGCGUUGCGCUCUAGGGAUGCAACAGAGAGGCGUCGAGGCGGCGGUGCCCUCGAGCGCCGCAUUAGGCGGCGACAUCGAGGCGGGGAGGCGGCGCUGCGCUCCGAGGAUGCAGCAGCGAGGCGUCGAGGAGCCGCUGUGCUCGGGUGCCGCAUCAGGCGGCGGCAGCGAGGCAGGAGGCGCACGGGGAGAUGAAGGAGGAGAAAAUGGAGAGUCGGCCGGGGCACGAACCACAGCGGCGCAAGCUUGCAGGGGGCGAUGGCCAUAGCAGGGAGGCGGCGCUACGCUCGGGCACCGCAUGCCUCCUCUGUAUCUCCUUUCUUUCUUCCCCAACUCCUUCUCUCUUGCACGUCGCCGUCUUGCUGGCCACGCAGUAAAGAGAUCGAGGAAGAGGCGGGAGUCGGGUCAAUCGAUCUGUCGCACGACGGAUGCUGCACUCCCUUUUCCAUCUAGCAACGGGCCGCAGAGGGAGGUGGAAGAGGAGCCACAACCUCCGAGCAGGAUGCUGCCGCCUAACACGCAUCUGACCAUGAGCUGGAGGAUAAGGUUGGAGAUUUGGUAUCGGAUGCUGCUCCAAGAACGAGGGGCCAAGGUGCUGAACUAACAGCAGGGGGAGGAUGAUUCUUCAGGUAACAACAUAGCCCGUCGACUAGAGAAUUAAGUUAACUGUUUGCUUUACUUGAAGCUCCAAAUUGUAGUUAUUUUAUUCGUUCACUGAUUUGGUAUAAUCUUAAUCUAGGAGGAUUAUCACUGUAUGAUAUGAGAUACUGAAGUUUAGCAAUGAUAAAAGUCUGAUGUUGAAUGGUUCUUUUCGGAAGUACAGUUGUAAGAUCUAUGAUUCUAGCUUCGACCUUUAACUGGACAGUACUAAUUGGACAUAUAAUUGAUGAUUUAUGCACAGCAAGAUAUUCUGUUGCUUUUAGUUCUUCAAUCAGAUUCAUCUAGCCCUUUGUUGACUUUCUAAUUGUUCCACCCUCUACCUCUAAAACUCAGAAAUCAGAGAAAGGUCAUUGGCAAUUUGGCAUAUCCCUGUCACUGGCGAAGGUUUGCUAGAGAGGAAGAGGACCAAAAUCAUUUUUUCUAUUGUUGGGGGCAUACAUAAUACAUAUAGAUAAAUUUGGACCAUUUAUAACAGAGAUUUCUUGCCAAAAAUAUUAACUCUGUCCAGCAGUGGGCAUUGUCAAGGUAAUAAAAGGAAUUUGCUGAACCUAAUUGAAUGAAAGAGGGAUGGCUAAUCCGAUUGAGAACCUUCUGUAACUGAAUAGACUUACGAACGAUAACAAUAGUAAAUAGUUCCAAUUAACAGGCGUUGUUUGAUUAAAAUACUAAUUUAAGAAUUUGGCGAAUCUAUAAUUCUCUACAUAAUCAGUUAGUGUAUUUUUGAUCACCGGGUUAUCCUAGACCACUUGGGGACAGUAUCAUCAAUUUCUUGCAUACUGCAAUGCAAGUUUUAAAAGCCAGUUUCUUAUGUUUCCUAUUAUCUUUAUGUUCACCUAACUGCCAAGAAUCAUAAAGGAUGCACCUAAGGAGGUAGAUUUUGUUUUAUGCAUUUUUUUAAGUGUACAGAUGCUGCAACUGAUUAACAAAACAUUGUUCAACCUUCUAUGAGUCUGCCUAGGGAGCUGCACAGAUUUGGAACAACUUCCAGAACAUGCACCAAGCAUUUUGGUCAGGUACCACUAAGCUGCCAGAGCAAGAUAGCUGGGAUGUCAAGUCCCUAGGGCAAUGGUAAAUCUCAAAUUGCCUGAUGUUCGAUGGGAAGCAUCAGACAAUACCAAUGUCCAGUAGUAAGAUCUGAUUGUGCAGGUGGUCAAGCCAAGAUAAGUGUCAACUUUGUUCUCCAAUAUAGGUGGUGUAUGUUUGUGCAAAAUGAUUAUGAAAGGACUUCUGGUAACUUUAUCUUUUGUCAAGGUUGUUUACUUGGUGGAGCAAACUUCCAUUUCCUCUGAACAGGUGAACAUGACAUGUGUGAUGGCUGUUAGCCCUAAUGGGCUUUAGACAUGUAUCUGAGGUUUCGUUGGCUGUGAACAAGUAGGGUCAACGAGUCGAGCAGAUCCUGGACCAUCACAUGAACACAUGAAACAGGUCGAUACCGGCAGCUUUUGGUAACCAUUCUAAGAUCUAGCACCUUGAUGCAAGCCAGAAUAGCCUCACUGGAUCAACAUUCCCGGGAAUAACAGAAUUGGUGAACCAGUUGACACUUGAUCUUAACUAAUCAGUUAAUUAAACCCUGAAUCUGAAUGAAGGGCUCCUUGAUUAAUUUUUUCACAAGUAGUCCAAUGAUUCAGGGGUUUAGACUUUAGUGUUUUUGGAUUAUUACGGGGCAGCAACCCUGCUUUUGAGCACACCCAAACAAAUUGAAUCAGGAUCUCUGCUUUUGGUUGUUCAAGUUUGUGGUAAAUCAUUAUGAACAAUUGUGUUUCCGGUGGCAGCUAAAUACAUUGGUAGAUCUGCACCAUACUCUGCUCCUAUUGAUUGAUGAUCACAAGUCACAACCCAAUUUUAGAUCUAUUUGAUUUGUUUCGUUUAGUGUUGGAUGGUGCAAAUUAAAGAAAGUGUACUGUCAUUCAUCAAUUUACUGAAUCUGGCCUGAAUGCGCCGUUGCCUGGAUUUCUAAAUCUUAUCCAAUUAUCUGGUCAUCAUUUCCUUAGCUGUUUGACUGGAGCACAUUCUCUUGAUUGAGGAGAUGAAUCUAACUGAACCUUCUUAGCUUAGAAACAAAAGUCAUUCUUUCGAUGAACCGAGAACUAUUGCGGUUAAUUUGUCAGCAAUUGUGUUCCUUCUGUACUUUAAUUCUUGGUCUGUGUUGAGUUGGGGGAUUUUUACAGUCUGACAACAAGAAUCUUAGACAGUCUGAAAUUAGUUGUUUUUUGGAUUAUCAAGUGAGAGAGACAUGGUCCUUGAGUUGCUGUACCAAUGUAUGUUUAGGGUUUAGUGAGAUUUUCUUCCUGUAAGGUGCGGUUCUUGGGGAUAGAUAAAAUACCAGUCACAUUCAAUUUGUUGUGAAGUCUACCAUUUUAGUUCAAAUGCCACCUUACCAAAAAUAGAGAACACUUUUGCCACUGGAGUAGGAUAACAAACAUGAAACCAGUUAAUCAGUGUAUCAUAGAUGACUGAUUAUUUCUAAAUCACCAGGGCGCUCUCCCUGCAACGGAACUACUUGGGCGUCUUUGACGGCAGCAUGCUUGAUACUGAGGCUGAAGACUAGCAUGGUUGAUGAGCUAAAGUGGCGGGUGGAGCUGGACCACAAGUCCACGACGCUCGUGUAGAAGGAUCACGUCGGCGGUGGCGGCUGCCCAGGCCAUGGCCAUGAUCACCAAUCUGCAGGAGGAGAAGGUGGCGAUGCGGACGGAGGAGUAUCGAUUGGUCAUGGAGGAGUAGAGUGUGUAUGAUUGUGAUGAGGCUGAGCGUCUGGCUGCUGAGAAGUGCUUUGUUUUGGGCAAGCCAAAAUACUUGAAAAAAAAAGAGAAAAUACUCUUUCCAACUAAGCAACCAACUAUUUGUAAAAGUUCCUAAAAAUGCUCUAAAAAAAACUAUAUGCAAAAAAAAACCUAACACAGUAAAUAUAGUUUUAAAA